GCAAACCACCCACAUUAAUCCUAAUUAAUCCUAAUCAUGAGGAUUUAUCACUGUUUAAUUCAGCCACUAAUUGCCAUUAAAUCACCCAAUUAAGUAGGAGUUAAUCCUAAUCACUUCCAGAUUGAUUCUCUCUUAAAUUCACACUCUCACUUUCACAAAAUGCAAAUCCUAGCAAAAAACCAAAGAAAGAGAUAGCCGAGAGGGAGGAAGAAGUAGAAGAAACUGCUACCCUUUUUAUUUAACUCUCAUACAAUCUAAGAAAACCGAAGCUGCCCAAUCUGAGGAACUCAUCCUUUCCCAACAAAUUCUGUAGUGUACACCACAUUUCAACUUCGACAGAAGGCUAUCUCUGCAAGCAAGCUGAGGUUGGAGUAAGAAAUCUCAAGUUAGGCAAUUUAAGCGUACGAGGUUGAGCAGUGACGGUGGAGAAUGCUGAGAAGAGUUUAUGAUUUUCUUUAUAUUUUAAGUAGAGGCUCUCAGAGGUGCAUGUCUCCAUACAUGUGACCAUGUUCAUUCCGCUGCGUAUUGUUCUUCUAUACUCUGAUAAAUAUUUGUUGAAGAGUAAGAUCCCCAUUCGAGUUCUUGUGA